rnacentral:rRNA from 1 species
UUAAAACGCUCGUAGUCGGAUUUCGGGGCGGGCCGACCGGUCUGCCGAUGGGUAUGCACUGGCCGGCGCGUCCUUCCACCCGGAGACCGCGCCUACUCUUAACUGAGCGGGCGCGGGAGACGGGUCUUUUACUUUGAAAAAUCAGAGUGUUUCAAGCAGGCAGUCGCUCUUGCAUGGAUUAGCAUGGGAUAAUGAAAUAGGACUCUGGUGCUAUUUUGUUGGUUUCGAACACCGGAGUAAUGAUUAACAGGGACAGUCAGGGGCACUCGUAUUCCGCCGAGAGAGGUGAAAUUCUCAGACCAGCGGAAGACGAACCACUGCGAAAGCAUUUGCCAGGGGAUGUUUUCACUGAUCAAGAACGAAAGUUAGGGGAUCGAAGACGAUCAGAUACCGUCGUAGUCUUAACCAUAAGCCAUGCCGACUAAGGAUUGGA